GACAGACUAGCUCAUAUGGAUAGAGUACCAGCCUCCGGAGCUGGGGGUGGCGGGUUCGAGCCCCGCGUCUGUCA
rnacentral:tRNA from 1 species